CCUGCUCCUAGAGACAUGGCAGAUACAGCUGCUGUGUCACACGUGUGUCAGUAGGUGGCAGAGAGGAGAGAGGGCUGUUUAUGCUCAGGGUUCUGACCUGUGAACAUCUGAAUGAUUAGUAGCCUACAUU
ensembl:snoRNA